rnacentral:rRNA from 1 species
GAACCGUCCAAACGUUAUUCGGAAUCACUGGGCUUACAGAGUUCGUAGGCGGCGGAGAAAGUAGGGUGUGAAAGCCCUCGGCUUAACCGAGGAAUUGCGCCCUAAACUACUUCGCUUGAGGAGGCUAGAGGUGAGCAGAACUGAUGGUGGAGCGGUGAAAUGCGUUGAUAUCAUCAGGAAUACCGGAGGCGAAAGCGGCUCACUGGGACCUUUCUGACGCUGAGGAACGAAAGCUAGGGGAGCGAACGGGAUUAGAUACCCCGGUAGUCCUAGCCGUAAACGAUGAGCACUAGACCGGAGUUCUGCACAGGAUUUCGGUCGUAGCGAAAGUGUUAAGUGCUCCGCCUGGGGAGUAUGGUCGCAAGGCUGAA